AUAAAAAAAUCACAUCAAGGGCCAGACACGUUUAGUUUAUUGAUAUGCUUUUAUUUAAUGAAAAAAAGGGAAAUAUCUUUGACUGCAUUGUUGCAUAUGUCACGUAGCCUUCUCACUUUCAGUUUGGUCGACAAAAUUCUCAAAGAAAAC